rnacentral:rRNA from 1 species
UACGAAGGGGGGCUAGCGUUGCUCGGAAUCACUGGGCGUAAAGCGCGCGUAGGCGGGGCGGAAAGUCCGCUGUGAAAGCCCGAGGCUUAACCUCGGCGGGUCGGUGGAUACUUCCGUUCUUGAAGGUGCUAGGGGGAGAUGGAAUUACCGGUGUAGCGGUGAAAUGCGUAGAUAUCGUAAGGAAGACCAGUGGCGAAGGCGGGUCUCUGGACAGUUCCUGACGCUGAGGCACGAAGGCCAGGGGAGCAAACGGG